ACGCAGCCCCAAACAGUUUCUUUCGAAACUAUCAGCCUUUAUUCAUUGGAAGGAAAUAGACAUGAAACACUUUGGGAACAAAAAGAAGAGAAGAAAAAGAAGGUUUCGAACUUUACCUAGUUCUGAAACCAUCUUGCUAUGAAAAUGAAGAGCAUCAAAUUGUCAUUGGUAAAGUCGAAAGAGAGCAGGAAAAAAGGUAGUGAAACCUGAGACGUUGAUAGUUCUUGACACUCUAACAUUUUGGAGAAAACCCCACUGAAUGAUGAAGUUUCCGUUUUCAGUUCAGGUUUAAUAGCAACAUGAGCAACGGUUCGUCCUGGGAUGGAGACAGUAGGCCAGACGUCAGUGAUCUUAAAAGAGAAAUUGGUUCAAAGGAAAACAAAAUACAAUCUUUGGAAAACGAACUUAAGCGCCUAAAAGAACAUCAUGACGCUAAGAUCAAAGAGCUAGAGGGAAAAAUAACAAAACUGGAAAACGAAAAAAGACUCUUGGAAGAGGAACUUAGAAAGUUACGGAGCGAGGUCGAUCAAAUCAUGAAAAGAAAAAAUGAUCGGGAUGAAGAUUCCCCUUCAACGCUUAAAGCUUGGUGUAUCAUAGCAACUAUGUGCGACGAUAUGGAAAACAUGAUGUUUAAAAGAGUUUUCCCUGAAGAAUUUAA